rnacentral:rRNA from 1 species
UGAACGCUGGCGGCGUGCCUCAUACAUGCAAGUCGAGCGAACAGACGCGGAGCUUGCUCCUCUGACGUUAGCGGCGGACGGGUGAGUAACACGUGGAUAACCUACCUAUAAGACUGGGAUAACUUCGGGAAACCGGAGCUAAUACCGGAUAAUAUAUUGAACCGCAUGGUUCACUAGUGAAAGACGGUUUUGCUGUCACUUAUAGAUGGAUCCGCGCCGCAUUAGCUAGUUGGUCAGGUAACGGCUUACCAAGGCGACGAUGCGUAGCCGACCUGAGAGGGUGAUCGGCCACACUGGAACUGAGACACGGUCCAGACUCCUACGGGAGGCAGCAGUAGGGAAUCUUCCGCAAUGGGCGAAAGCCUGACGGAGCAACGCCGCGUGAGUGAUGAAGGUCUUCGGAUCGUAAAACUCUGUUAUUAGGGAAGAACAAAUGUGUAAGUAACUAUGCACGUCUUGACGGUACCUAAUCAGAAAGCCACGGCUAACUACGUG